AUACCUUUCAUGGCCUUUUGCCUUAGAUCUAGUAUAUGUUCUUAUUAGUUUAAUAUCUCUGAUAUGUGGGUCAUUGGCUCACACGAUAUUAAAUUAAUUAUUUAAGGGGAGGAUCCACCACAGUAGGGCUUGGCGCACCCCACCAAUUCUAGUUUUAAUAUUUUAAAUCCUUAAUUGAUAAAUU